CAGCAGCCACGGUAAUACGGAGGGGGCUAGCGUUGUUCGGAAUUACUGGGCGUAAAGCGCACGUAGGCGGCUUGGUAAGUUAGAGGUGAAAGCCUGGAGCUCAACUCCAGAAUUGCCUUUAAGACUGCCGAGCUAGCAGGUGAGAGAGGUAAGUGGAAUUCCGAGUGUAGAGGUGAAAUUCGUAGAUAUUCGGAAGAACACCAGUGGCGAAGGCGGCUUACUGGCUCAUACUGGACGCUGAGGUGCGAAAGCGUGGGGAGCAAACAGGAUUAGAGACCCGCGUAGUCCCUGUCUCUUAUAC
rnacentral:rRNA from 1 species